AUGCAUAGCGCAGCUACACAUGCAGUCGACGGUAACAGGAAGCAUCUGUGCUGCUUUGCUGACGAGUGGCGGACGGGUGAGUAAUGUCUGGGAAACUGCCUGAUGGAGGGGGAUAACUACUGGAAACGGUAGCUAAUACCGCAUAACGUCACACGACCGAAGAGGGGGACCUUCAGGCCUCUUGCCGUCGGAUGUGCCCAGAUGGGAUUAGCUAUUACGUGGGGUAACGGCUCACCUACGCGACGAUCCCUAUCUGGUCUGAAAGGAUGACCAGCCACACUGGAACUGAGACACGGUCCAGACUCCUACGGGAGGCAGCAGUGGGGAAUAUUGCACAAUGGGCGCGAGCCUGAUGCAGCCAUGCCGCGUGUAUGAAGAAGGCCUUCGGGUUGUAAAGUACUUUCACCGGGGAGGAAGGCGACAGGGUUAAUAACCCUGUCGAUUGACGUUACCCGCACAAAAAGCACCGGCUAACUCCGUGCCAGCAGCCGCGGUAAUACGGAUGGUGCAAGCGUUAAUCGGAAUUACUGGGCGUAAAGCGCACGCACGCGGUCUGUCAAGUCUGAUGUGAAAUCCCCGGGCUCAACCUGGGAACUGCAUUCGAAACUGACAGGCUAGAAUCUUGAAGAGGGGGGUAGAAUUCCAGGUGUAGCGGUGAAAUGCGUAUAGAUCUGGAUGAAUACCGAGUGGCAAAGGCGGCCCCCUGGACAAAGACUGACGCUCACGUGCGAGAGCGUGGGGAUCAAACAGGAUUAGAUACCCUGGAUACUCCACGCCGUAAAACGAUGUCCUACUUAGAACGUUCGUGCCCCUUGAGGUCGUGGCCUUCCGGAAGCUUAGCGCGUUAAAGUCGAACCGCCCUGGGGGACUACGGACCGCAAGG
rnacentral:rRNA from 1 species